UGGGGAAUUUUGGACAAUGGGCGAAAGCCUGAUCCAGCAAUGCCGCGUGUGUGAAGAAGGCCUUCGGGUUGUAAAGCACUUUUGUCCGGAAAGAAAUCCUUGGCUCUAAUACAGUCGGGGGAUGACGGUACCGGAAGAAUAAGCACCGGCUAACUACGUGCCAGCAGCCGCGGUAAUACGUAGGGUGCAAGCGUUAAUCGGAAUUACUGGGCGUAAAGCGUGCGCAGGCGGUUUGCUAAGACCGAUGUGAAAUCCCCGGGCUCAACCUGGGAACUGCAUUGGUGACUGGCAGGCUAGAGUAUGGCAGAGGGGGGUAGAAUUCCACGUGUAGCAGUGAAAUGCGUAGAGAUGUGGAGGAAUACCGAUGGCGAAGGCAGCCCCCUGGGCCAAUACUGACGCUCAUGCACGAAAGCGUGGGGAGCAAACAGGAUUAGAUACCCUGGUAGUCCACGCCCUAAACGAUGUCAACUAGUUGUUGGGGAUUCAUUUCCUUAGUAACGUAGCUAACGCGUGAAGUUGACCGCCUGGGGAGUACGGUCGCAAGAUUAAACUUAA
rnacentral:rRNA from 1 species